UUAAUUUAUUUUUCUUUCUUUGUUUUUUUGAGUUAUCAAUAAGUAAAAAGUGUGAAUAUUUUCGUAACUUAAUAUUUUCUAUAAUAAAAUUAAUUUAAUUGGACUUCAACAUAAAUUGAUUUUACAAAACUCAUUUUAAAAGUUUAUACCAGACGUAAAAAGACACGACCCGCCCACCUGCAGCAACGGAAGAACAAGCCCGGGCAAGUCCUUCACGCUCGUCUGUUUCAUGAGUUUAUUUGAACAAGGUUUUCCACGGAGCCGGAUCAUUUAUACUUCAAGUUCCCCAUGCCUAACUGGAGCGCCUGGCUGAAGCCAUGUUUUCCUACACCGCUUACCCCAAUGAUGCCCAGAGAUGUGCAGUGGCAGAGGCACUAGUUGCAAAGCAUCCCUGCUUAAAGGAGCCCGGAUCUUUCAAUGGAAUUUAUGGGUGGCAGCAAAGCCUAAAGUACAAGUGUGGAAACUACCGGACAAAACGGAAAGCCCUUGGAAGCACUGAACUCCUGAUAAACUCACUGAGAAACAAGUCAAGUGAUGAGCGAAAAGCUGCUAAAAAUGUCAAGAAACCAAAGAGGGCAGAGGUGAAUUACUUGCCCUCACACCCACAUGGUGAAACAGAUGACACCCUUGAGAAUCUGAGACUUGACUUAAUUGCUGCCCCAAAGCUUGAUUACCCCAAAGCUCCUAGAGCUCUUUAGUGCCAAGGGUGGAGCAACUGGUCAACGCAUCAAAAACUUGAUGAUGGAACUGAUACAGGACCCAAGUGCCACUGCAGUGAAGAAGAAGAGAUGUCACUCUGAGAUGCCU